AUAAUAAAGAAAUUAACUGGGC
rnacentral:miRNA from 1 species